rnacentral:rRNA from 1 species
CGGACGGGUGAGUAACACGUGAGCAACCUGCCUUCGAGAGGGGAAUAACGGCUGGAAACGGUCGCUAAUACCGCAUAACAUACCGGGAGGACAUCCUGCUGGUAUCAAAGAUUUAUCGCUCGAAGAUGGGCUCGCGUCCGAUUAGGUAGUUGGUGAGGUAACGGCUCACCAAGCCGACGAUCGGCAGCCGGACUGAGAGGUUGAACGGCCACAUUGGGACUGAGACACGGCCCAGACUCCUACGGAAGGCAGCAG